UUAGUAACUUAUUAAAAGAAAUGGAAAAUACGAACAAUAGUUUAAACACCAAAGAAUUUGGCGGUGUCUUAUUUAAUUAGGGGAACCUGUCUCAUAAACGAUAAUCCACGAAAAUCUUACCUAAUUUUGAAACUCAGUUAGUGUACUGCCGUCUCAAGUAUACCUUUAUGAGUGUAUACCAUAAAUUAUAAAUAAAUUACACGUCAGGUCAAAGUGCAGCUAAUAAUUAGGUGAUGAUGGGUUACAAUCUUAACACAGAUACAGAUAAAUAUAAUAAAAUAUAUUUUCAAGGUGGACUUAACAGUAAUUAAAGCAAUACUUUAAUGAAUUCAAUACUAAGACAUGC
rnacentral:rRNA from 1 species